GAUGAACGCUGACAGCAUGCUUAACACAUGCAAGUCAACUGUGGCGGACGGGUGAGUAACGCGUACAGAACUUGCCUCCCAGCUAGGGACAACAUUUGGAAACGAAUGCUAAUACCUGAUACUGUGAGAGAGCUUUGCGUCCCAUUAGCUAGUGGGAGAGGUAACGGCUCACCAAGGCGAUGAUGGGUAGCCGGCCUGAGAGGGUGAUCGGCCACAAGGGGACUGAGACACGGCCCUUACUCAUACGGGGGGCAGGAGUGGGGAAUAUUGGAGAAUGGACCAAAGUCUGAUCCAGCAAUUCGGUGUGCAAGAUGAAGUUUUCGGAAUGUAAAGUGCUGGCAGUGGGGAAGCGGUACCAACAGAAGAAGUGACGGCUAAAUACGUGCCAGCAGCCGCGGUAAUUC
rnacentral:rRNA from 1 species